rnacentral:rRNA from 1 species
UACGUAGGGUGCAGGCGUUUAAUCGGAAUUACUGGGCGUAAAGCGUGCGCAGGCGGCUUCCUAAGUCAGAUGUGAAAUCCCCGGGCUCAACCUGGGAACUGCGUUUGAAACUGGGAGGCUGGAGUGCGGCAGAGGGGGGUGGAAUUCCACGUGUAGCAGUGAAAUGCGUAGAUAUGUGGAGGAACACCGAUGGCGAAGGCAGCCCCCUGGGCCAGCACUGACGCUCAUGCACGAAAGCGUGGGGAGCAAACAGG